UACGUAGGGACCAAGCGUUGUUCGGAUUUACUGGGCGUAAGGGGCGCGUAGGCGGCGCGGUAAGUCACUUGUGAAAUCUCUGAGCUUAACUCAGAACGGCCAAGUGAUACUGCAGUGCUAGAGUGUGGAAGGGGCAAUCGGAAUUCUUGGUGUAGCGGUGAAAUGCGUAGAUAUCAAGAGGAACACCUGAGGUGAAGACGGGGUUGCUGGGCCAACACUGACGCUGAUGCGCGAAAGCCAGGGGAGCAAACGGG
rnacentral:rRNA from 1 species